CUUUUCAUAUUCCUUUUGGUAUCUUCCUUUCUUGCUUCCUGUCUUUUGCUCUGUCACUAGGUUGUAAAGGAAAUGAAAGGGAAUUAUAUGCUCUAUGUAAAAGCCCUUAAGAUAAAGAAACUAAAGAUAUUUCUAAUCACCGUUGUUAUGUCUUACUAUCCUAAAGUCAAAAGCAAGUAACAAAG
rnacentral:ribozyme from 1 species